AAAUAGUCCAAGUCCUGGUUACAAAGCCCAAACACUACAAGCCCAAAACUUAAAACCAAAAAGCACUACCCGUAUAACCCAAAUUAAACCCUUAAACCCGACCUAACCCACAAUAGCCGACCCAACUCAAACACUACCCAGUAAGCCCUUUACACCCAUGACCCGUAUACAUCAGCGGCCCAAAAGGCCCAAAUGACUUAAGAGGAACAAGAAACCCUAGGGUUUCCUGAACACUAUCGCGCCGCAACUGCUUCUAGAAUAUUCGGGGAGCGUCUGUCCAGUCUACGAAAUCGAGGCCACCAUCAAGGCACUGUCCCGAGGCCCUUCGACACACCAGCUCGACCACCGAUCACGCCUCCACCAGUGGGCCGUGACUUCAGCAUUGUGUCGUGCCCAGCACGGUUACCAUCGAGAUCCUCGCAAGUUACCUGUAAGAAAAAGAAAGAAAUCAAAGCAAAAAAGGCAGCAGAUAUACUAGAACAGGAAACGGAAAGAAAUCCUCCGAUUUAUUUCCAAAAUGGGCAGUAGUUUAAGGCUAUAAAGCCUUUCGCAAAUCUGUAAAAACUUACUUUUUACAUAGAUACACAGGGAGAGACAAAAAAACACAGAAAGAUAGGGAGUUACAAACAAGUUGUAUUCAUAAAAAGCAGAAGAAAUAAAACAGUUUUUGUUUCUUAAAGGUAAUCGAAUCACUUUUUACUAUUUUCCAUUUAUCUGCUUAUUUUCUAGUGUGCAUACACAAAUCUUAGAAUAUAAUCAAAGAAAACAAAAGAAGCGGAGUUACCUUCUUGAUUUGCUGCGAAAAAUGGAAUUUUGAAAACCCUAACCGCCGUACGCGACGGCAUCAAAGGUGGCGCGUGGGCACGUGUGCACUUAAGAGCAGAGGCUUAACAGAGCUCCGGUGCCGGUCCCAGACCCUCAUUCAGAGGAUUUCACCCCUUUUUUUUAGAGCCGGCUGUAAAAAUGAAUUUAAAACCAAAAGUUUGGCUUAUAUAGCCUUAGAGAAAUGGCAUCGUUUUUGUUUAUCCUAAUAAGCUCAAAACAGUGUCGUUUUAAAGCACAAGAUCCGCGCGUUGACCCGUGACCCGGGGAGGAUCCGCGUGUUUUUGGAAAAUGGGCAAAUUGCCCAAUUGAUCCUCCCGUGUUUUUUGAAUUUUUAGUUUGGUUUUAUUUUAUUUUUUUAAUUUGACCCUAAUAUUUUAUAAUUGUUUCAAUUUAUUCCCAACGGUUAUUAAAUUACAUUCUGGGAAACGGCGUCAUUUAGGAUUAGGGCAAAUUGCCCAGUGAGUCCUUUGUCAUUUUUAACUCUUGUAAAUCAGGCCCAGAAUCUAUACUAUUUUUCAAAUUAGCCUUAUAAUUUUAUUUAAAUUCAAUUUUAACCCCUUUUUUAUUUUUAAAUUUUGUUAUUUUAUUUUUUAUAUAUAUAAUUAUUUUAUUUUAGAUAAAACUGUACAUAUAUUAUUAUUAAAAUACCAUUUAUACAUUUAAAAUCUUUUAUCAUAUAUUAUUUUCCUAAAUAUAUUAUAUUUUAUUAUAUAACAUAUAUUAUAUAUAUAUUUUAUGUUAUGUAUAUUAUAUAUUAUCUAUCAUAUUACAUAUGUUUUAUAUUACUCAUUGUAUUAUUUAAUUUUAAAAUUUUAAAAUUAUUAUUAUUAAAUUAUAUUCAUAUUACGUAUAUAUUUCAUUAUUAAUUAUUUAUUAUGUGAUAUUUGUAUUUAUUAUAUAAUUAUUUUGUAAAUUAUUUUAUAUACUUUCUAUUUUAUAUAUUAUUUUCCUUAAAAAACAAAUAUAUUUUAUCUUAUAUAUAAUAAUUAUUCUUUUGUAAAAUUUUUUGUUAUUAUAUAUUAUAUAUUGUAUAUAAGAUACUAUUUUUAAAUUAUUAAAUAUCAUAUUUUUAUUUGUAUUAUAAGUAUAUUUCGUUAACAAUUACUCACUUUAUUUUAUAUUUUUAUAUAUAUACUAAUUCUUUUAUAUAUUUUAUAUAUAUCAUUUACGUAUUAAAUGUUAUUUUAUAAUUAUUAUUUAAUGUUAUAUUUUAUGAACAUGUACAUUGAUAUUAUAUUUCUUUUUAAUUGUGUAUCAUGCAUCAUUUCUUAAUUAUUACUAUGUAUGUUUGUAUGUUUUGCUUAUCCAUCUUCAAUAUAAGCUAUGUGUAUCUUUGUAUAUAUGAUGUUAUGUAAUCUUAAACAUGUAUGUAUCUAGUAUAUGAUUUUUGUAUUAUUGCCAUUGUAUCGUUUAAAUGUAUGUUUUAUUCACUCAUUAUUGCAAUAUUCUAUUCCAUAAUGAUAAUAUGUUCCAUCAUGUAUUGGUUUUAAAAAAGAGACUUCAAAGUUUUCAAAAAUAAAAAAGGCAAUGCUUAGUAUUUGGAAGCUUCGAGAAAAGUAGUGACCUAACUUAUUGGGUUGCAACUUUUCUCGUUGAGUUCGAAUAGUCAAGUACCCUUCUAAGUUUUUAAGAUUUUCAAAACACGAGCAACUGUUUUGGAAUUUCAAAGCUUGUGUCCUAACUUAUUGGAUGUGGCGAUUUCUCGUUUCGAGAUAGGGAUUUCCAAAAUGUUAACUUAGUGUCAAUGUUUUGAUACAAGUGAAUCUCAAUUUUCAAAAUCAAAAUAUUUUAAAGAGGAUUGUAUCUUAAAUUUUUUAAAUUUUCGACCUUAAAGACAUUUGAUAAUUAAUUAGGUACCAAUUUUUGGGCGUUACGAGGGUGCUAAUCCUUUCUCGUACGUAACCGACUCCCGAACCCGUUCUUUUAUUUCGUAGCCCAAAACUAAUGAUUUUAAAACAAAAUGUUUUAAAGGUGAUCCAAUCACACCUAAAAAGAUUAGUGGCGACUCCCGUUUUCAUUUUUUUUAAAGUCGAUUUCCAUUUUCCAAAACUCGAUUUAAAAAUGGUUUCGACAGCUUGGCGACUCCACUAGGGAUUCUAAGAGAGUCAAGCCGUAUAAUUGAUUACCUUUUGUCUUAAUGUCGUAAAUUUGAAAAUUUUAAAGUUCAAUCCUCUUUGCAUUACAUGUGUUUGUAUUAUUGUAUAUUCUGAUACGUAUUGCAUUUGCAUGACCGUUGUGGUCACACCCUUAAGUGGGAGUGAGAAACUACGCCUUCAUAAGUUUUUCGCCUCCGUACAGGAUAGUGGAUCACUUUUGGGAUACAUCCGUACCUAUGGUUUCGUGAGAUUUUCAUCUCCGUGUAGCCAUAGGGAAAUGUAUUCCCCUGAACUGAACACGAUUCAAAUGAGCCUAUAAUGGGUGAGAAUAGAAGAAUCUUCUGGUUCGGGUACCUCAAACUUUAGAACCAACUUCAUAUCGAAAAACCGUAAGAGCCCAACUUAGUUAGGUUUAAACUUUAGAUAUUACCCUUAUAAAUUAUCGUUGAAAUUUAUUGAUAUCAUGCGAUACUGACUAUCUCUUUUCUUUUGUUUGCGUGUUAUUUUGCAUUUACAAAGGUAUCGAUUCAUAGUCAAUUUCUAAGUUAGGAAGUUUUAUUAUGGAGAACGGACUUCUUGAUUGAGUGGAGGGUAACGCCAACGUCCAUAGAUGGUCUAAGCAAACUCAACUAGAAAAGGAAGAUAGUAUAGCUAUGGGAUACGUGUCGGAGCUGUCAGAUUACACUCGUAUUAGUGUUACGCAGAAUAAUCUCCAAGAGCUUAAGGAAAUUUGGGAUCAAUGGGGCAAAAAGACCAAGCAGUUAUUCUACGAUAAUUACGGAGACUUACCUUACUUGCUCGAUGUUCAGGUAGACGAGCACUUAUUCUGGGCCCUUGCUCAGUUUUGGAACCCAACGUAUAGUUGUUUCUCUUUUGGGGAAGUAGACUUGGUACCUACUGUGGAGGAGUACACUGCCUUACCUCGUUGUCCCAGGUUUCAGAACGAUAGGAUCUAUUCUCGAGCUAUUUGUGUCCCUACCUUUUGGAAGAAAUUGAUGAUUAUUACGGAGAUGAGCGAGCAGUAGAUCACGGCCAGAAUUAAAGAGAAGGGUGAGUGCAAGUGCAUUUCGUGGGACGCUUUAAAAGAUCUGAUUCUGACACACCCUGAUGAGACGAAGAAGGUAGAUGUUUUUUCUUUAAGUUUGUAUGGACUGAUGGUUUUUCCUAAGGCUUUGGGAUAUAUGGAUGACGCAACCACGGAUCUUUUUCAUCGACUCAGUAAAAGGGUCACUUCCGUCCCUACGAUUUUGGUGGAGACAUUCAGGUCCUUAGGCGUAUGUAGGAGGGUUGGUGCUGGCAGGUUUAUAGGGUGUGCUCAGUUACUUUUGGCUUGGUUCUACAGUCAUUUUAGAUUGAUAGAUAGGGUGGUUUGUCGGGUCUUCUUCGAGGAUUAUUCACCGUUGAAGGACAUAGUAGCUUCAACUAGGAGAGUUAAUGUUCCAGAAUAGAAUUGGAUAGCGCUACUUCAGAACCUUCAGUCGAAAGAUGUUGAGUGGAGGGCUCCGUGGAUGAUUCCUGGUGAGAUUCUUUAUUGAUGCGGCAGUUUCGAUUAGGUCCCCCUGUUGGGCAUUUGGGGUGCCAUUGGUUAUGCCCCUUUGCUCGUGCUGAGGCAGCAUGGAUUGAGACAGUUCAUACUAGUGACUCAGGGGUUAACUCAAAGUGAGUUUGUAUAUAGAGGAGCCGAUUACAAGAGGAAGGUUAGCGAAAUUUCUAGUGCUUGGAAAAAGGCUUAUUGGUUGAAGGGAGUAGCUAUUAGCCCUACUACGACACCAGAAUACGUUGAAUGGAGAGGCAGAAGGGUUAAUGAUAAUAUCCCUAAGCCAAGUGUGGAAGGAGCUCGACCGAUAGAGGAAUAUUUGCAAGUAAUGCCCUCAGAGUUAGAAAUUAUGAAGCAAGAGUUCGAGAGAAAGAACUUGGAGUUCAAGAAGAGGGUAGCAAAGCUCGAAGAAGAAAAGAUGUACUUGAGCUUGGACGUCGACGUUUAAAAGAUAGAGGUCGAGAAAGAGAGGAAAGAAAAGAGGAAGAUUGAGGAAGAUCGAAAUGAUCUAAAAGAGCAUUACAAAAAGUCACAAGUAUCCUUGAGGAGAGCAAGAGUAGGAGGAUCUUCAGAUUAGUUGCAGAAAGAGGUCUAAGAGGAAAAGGCUAGAGCUGAGUAUUGGGAGAGGAAGUUCCAAGAGAUGCAGUCACAGAAUUUGGCGUUAGAGGAAAAGAAUAAAGAGUUGAAGACCAAGGUAACUGAGCUUGGAAGAUUUGGAAGUGGCAUUGCAUGAUGGUGAACUUCGGAUUGAGCAGCUCGAGGCGCAAGAAGAUUAUCUCAAAGAAGAGCUCCAUCAGGUUAAAGGUCAAGUCAGAGAUAGGGAUUACAUUAUUGGGGAGGCUAUAGCCCAAAUCCGAGAGGUUGCUGAAUAUGUUCAAAACUUAGCAGUACGAGCUGAUGCUUUGAGUAUGAUUAUGAGUUAGUGUCUGAUAAAGGUCAAGAGUUAGCCCUUUUAUUAGAUAGAGUUAAAACUUUAGGCCUUAGGGCAAAAGCGUAUUUGUAAUCCUCUUAUAUGUAAAGAUAUUCUUUUUCUAAAUAAAGUUUUCUAAAUGAAGUUGAACCAGAAUCGAUAUCCUUUUUGCAUUCAUGUAUUUGCAUCUCAUAGCAUUUCAUCACAUCAUUUGCAUUUAAAGUUAUAGAAAGACCCUAAUUAGUUAAAGUUUACUUACAAAGGUAGAAAAUAAAAUCUGGAAGUCACACAUCCUUACAGCACUUACACUAAAACUAAGAGUAUGGAUCAAAGGUUCGAAAAAUUACAAAAGGAUAUGCAAGACCAAAUGCAAGAGCAGUUGCCAAAAUGCAGAAUGAAAUGAGGGAGCAAAUGCUAGAGGCUCAGAGGAACAUUAUGGCUGAAAUGGCUCAGCUGCUGAGAGCCACUGAUAAAGGAAAAGCUCCUAUGGCAAUCACUAAAGAGGAGAAUGAAGGUCCUCCUCCGGGAUUUACUCCGCCUCAUGUGCCACUGCAAACCGAGGCAUCUCCUAGAAGGCCAUCUGUCACCGUGAGGCCUCAACAUGGGCCAGUUGAUGCUGGAAUCCCCGUGAAUUUCCCAUCUGGGUUGGGAAAUAAUUUGGGUGAUAACGCGAUCAACCCUAUCACUCCUGAUCUAGAUCUGAUGGAGAAGGAAAAAAUGGCAACCGAAUCCGCGAAACAAUUGGAGGAUCGUUGCAAGUGGUUGGAGGAGAAGUUUAGGGUUUUGGAAGGCGCUGACAAUCAUCAUGGGAUUAAUGCCAAAGACUUAAGUUUGGUCCCAGAUUUGGUGCUUCCUCAUAAAUUUAAGAUGCCAGAGUUUGAAAAGUACAACGGGACUACUUGCCCAGAGGCACACAUAACAAUGUUUUGUAGGAGAAUGACUAGGUAUGUAAACAAUGAUCAAUUAUUGAUCCAUUGUUUUCAAGACAGCUUAGUAGGAGCAGCGGCUAGAUGGUACAAUCAGUUGAGCCGUGCACGAAUCGGUUCAUGGAGAGAUUUGGCACAGGCCUUCAUGCAACAGUACAACCAUGUGACUGAUAUGACGCCAGAUAGGAUCACACUUCAAAACAUGGAGAAAAAGCCUAAUGAAAGUUUUAGGCAAUAUGUACAACGAUGGAGGGGGGUGCCAAUGCAAGUACAACCACCAUUGUUGGAAAAGGAGACCACCAUGUUAUUUAUCAACACUCUGAAGGCGCCAUUCAUCACUCACAUGAUUGGAAGCACCACGAAAAGUUUCGCGGAUAUAGUUAUGGCGGGAGAGAUGAUUGAAAACGCCGUGAGGGGCAGUAAAAUCGAGGGGAAAAUGAUUAAGAGAUCGGCCCAAGGAGAAAGGAAAACAAGGUGAAUAAUAUGAAUAGCCUCAACUCGAGAGCAGUCACAAUUGGUCAACCCAAACCAGAGCAACAAAGUAUUCAAAGAAAAGAAUCGGGAAUAAGACAGAAUUCGGAGAGGAUACAAUUCACGCCUAUCCCUGUGACGUAUCGUGAGCUUUAUCAAAGCUUAUAUGAUGCACAUGCUAUUGCUCCAUUUCACUUGAAACCGCCACAGCCACCAUAUCCUAAAUGGUAUGAUGCAAAUGCCAAAUGUGAAUAUCACGUGGGAAUACCGGGCAUUCGAUUGAAAACUGCACCGAAUUUAAGAAGGUCGUGGAGAGACUUAUCAAGAUGAGGGUGGUAAAAUUUGACAGUACCCCUAAUACCAAAAAUCCGUUACCAGAUCAUGGCAAUCAAGGAGUGAAUGCCAUCGAUGAAAGAAAGGAAGAAAAAAUCAAGGAAGAGAUUACUGAGGUGAAGACACCCAUGAAAGUAAUAUGGGAGGAGAUGGUGAAGAGAGGUAUGUUGACCUUUGGAAAAGGUAGAAGAGAAAUAGAGAAUUAUUGCAAAUUCCAUGGAGAAAUGGGUCAUAUGAUCCAAAAUUGUGAGGAGUUCAAGGCCAUGGUGCAAGGCCUUAUGGUUAACAAAGAGCUACAGAUUUUUGAGGGUAGUUCUUGCGAAGGACAAAUAUGCGUGCUGGAAAAUGAACAACAAGGAACCAGCCGACCAAGAACUAUUAUUUCCUUGCUGGGGAAUAAUGAAAUGGGGACGCAAACUGGGCCCAAGGUCGUCAUCCAUAAACCCACUCCUUUCCCUUACAAGGAUGACAAGAGGGUGCCAUGGAGCUAUGACUGCAGUGUAACAGUACUUGAGGGGGAGAGCAUAGCCAGUGCAUCUAGGAGUGAGCAAAAUGAAGGUUCCCAUACUUCUGAGUUCUGAGGUGCAUCGGGAUGCAUUAUUGAAGGUGCUUAAUGAAACAUAUGUCACCCACGAUAUAUCCGUUAACAAGUUGGACUGAUUGGUAAAUAACAUCAGUGCUGACAAUUUUAUCUAUUUCAAUGAUGAUGAAAUUCCACCUGGGGGCAUAGGGUCAACCAAAGCUUUGCACAUCACUACUCGGUGCAAAGGAUACACGCUGCCAAGUGUACUCAUUGAUAAUGGGUUUGCUUUGAACGUUCUGCCGCUGUCCACCUUGAACAGAUUACCCAUUGACAGUUCGCAUAUGAAAACAUGUCAUAACGUGGUAAGAGCCUUUGAUGGAACUGAAAGGAAAGUGAUGGGACGAAUCAACAUCCCUUUGGAAAUUGGGCCAAAUACAUAUAAAAUUGAUUUCUUGGUGAUGGAUAUCAAGCCCUCCUAUAAUUGCUUACUGGGGAGGCCAUGGAUACAUUCGGCAGGAGCGGUGCCUUCCUCAUUGUACCAAAAAUUGAAGUUAGUGACAGAUGGACGGUUAAUAACCAUCAAUGCGGAGAAGGACAUUAUAGUAGCAGUCACUAGCAAGGCCCCUUAUGUCAAGGAAAAUGAAGAGGCCAUUGAGUGUUCUUUUCACUCCUUAAAAAUCAUCAAUGCAACCUUUAUUUUGGAAGGAAGUAAGGUGCCGAUACCCAAAAUGUCUAGAGCCACAAGGAUGGCCCAGCAAAUGAUGAUGGGAAAAGGGGCAUUGCUAGGAAAGGGACUAGGAAGACAGUUGCAAGGAGGGAUUCAAAUCCCAAAACUAUUUGAGAAGAAAGAUCGCUUUGGUUUGGGCUUCAGGCCAGACCAUAAGCACAAGAGGCAAGAAAUUGAGAAGCGCCAAACAAAAAGAAAUGCGCAUCUGAAUGGAGGAAAAGUGGAGUGGGAACCGAUGACAUUCCCACCUAUAUCCAAAUCCUUUAAGUCGGGAGGAUUACUGGUAGAAGAAAGUCAUCGAAUUAAUGUUGGACAUGAUGAGGGAUUGGAGCAAGGAAACCUCGAGGGCAUUCGCCCUUACGAACCGGGGAGCUCUCUUAACAAUUGGAUUGCGGAAGACCUUCCUAUAGUCUUUAGGAAUUUUUCAGAGUAAUUCUCGAAACAUGUCUAUUACUCUAGGGCCUAGGAGUAGUAAGAUUACAUUUGUGAAAUAGGUUUAUGUUCAUCUAUUAUUAUUUAAAUAAAACAUAACUUUUAUCAAUUUAAACGAAUAUUGUUUCACUUUUAUCAACCAAUAUUCCUUUAAAUUUUGGCAAUUCUUAUUCUUUUAUUCAUAGCACAUAAACAAUCAUUCUUAGAUUUAUUCAUUCUUUUUAUAUUCUUUCAUACCCCCACAGGUCCCUAGAUAUCAAUGAUAUGAGCACAGAUACUGCAACUCCUGAUUUCUCUUGCGAGCAAGACAUGUGUUUAGAGGAACCUCAGGAUUUUGAAAAUGUUCAAGAUUAUGACGUAUCUCUUGAUCUGUUAAGAAUGGUAAAGCAGGAGGAGAAACAAAUCAUGCCACAUGAGAAAGAGGCAAUAGAAAUGUAGCCCUAGAGGAAGGGAAGGAGUUGAAAAUUAGAACACUGAUUACCGAGGAUACAAGGCGUGGUCUGGUUGAGCUGCUUCGAGAGUUCAAGGAUAUCUUCGCCUGGUCAUAUCAGGAUAUGCCCGGAUUGAGUACCGACAUUGUAGUACAUCGUCUUUCAAUAAGACAGGAUUGUAAGCCAGUCCAACAGAAGUUGCGAAGAAUGAGGCCAGAUAUUAUUCUGAAAAUAAAGGAUGAAGUCAAGAAGCAGUUCGAUGCAGGAUUCUUGCAAGAAGUGAAAUACUCCGAAUAGGUAGCUAACAUUGUACCAGUUCCUAAGAAAGACGAGAAGGUACGAAUGUGUGUUAAUUACAGAGAUUUAAAUAAAGCUAGCUCCAAAGAUAAUUUCCCUCUGCCACACAUAGACACUUUGGUGGACAACACAACAGGAUAUUCGUUGUUUUCCUUUAUGGAUGGUUUCUCAGGAUACAAUCAGAUAAAGAUGCAUCCAGAGGACAUGGAUAAAACCACCUUAAUAACCUUAUGGGGCACCUUUUGCUACAAAGUAAUGCCGUUUGGACUAAAGAACGCAGGGGCAACAUACCAACGGGCCAUGGUAAACUUAUUCCACGACAUGAUGCAUAAGGAUAUUGAGGUAUACCUUGAUGAUAUUAUUGCCAAGUCGCAUACAGAAAAAGAGCAUAUUGAGGUCUUGAGAAGAUUGUUCUUGAGGUUGAGAAAAUUUCAGUUGAAGCUCAAUCCAGCAAAGUGUACCUUUGGAGCCAGAUCGGGAAAUUUAUUAGGCUUCGUGGUCAGUGAAAAGGGAAUUGAAGUCGACUCGGACAAGGUCAAAGCCAUACGAGAGUUACCUCCACUAUGUACUCAGAAAGAAGUUCGAGGAUUCCUAGGAAGGUUGAAUUACAUCACUCGGUUCAUUUCACAACUAACCGAGAAAUGCAAUCCUAUCUUUCAUCUCCUCAGAAAGUACAAUCAAGGUAUUUGGGAUGAGGAGUGCCAGAAUGUUUUGAAAAGGUCAAGCAGUAUUUGUUGAAUGCUCCGGUAUUAUCUCCACCAAGCCCAGAUAAACCGUUGAUACUGUACUUGUCAGUUUUCAGUAAUUCCAUGGGAUGUGUGCUUGGCUAGCAUGACGAGUCAGGGAAAAAUGAGAAGGCAAUUUAUUAUGUCAGUAAGAAAUUCACUGACUAUGAGAUGAGAUAUCCACCGAUUGAAAAGUUGUGUUGUGCGCUGAUUUGGACAACUCGGAGAUUAAGAUAGUAUAUGCUAUACCAUACCACUUGGCUCAUCUCAAAGCUUGAUCCAUUAAAAUACAUGAUGGAGUCAACAGCUUUAAAUGAGAGAAUGGCGAGAUGGCAAAUUUUGCUUUCAGAGUUUGAUAUAGUCUACAUAAGUCAGAAGGCUAUAAAAGGAAGUGCGGUAGUAGACUUCUUGGCCAGUAGGGCUCUAGAGGAUUAUGAGUCAUUGAACUUUGAUUUUUCAAAUGAGGAGUUAAUGUGCAUAGGAAUAACCGAGGAUUCUCUUUGGAAGCUAAAUUUUGAUGGGGCUUCUAAUGCAGUCGGAAAUGGAAUUGGGGCAGUCUUGGUAUCCCCGAAUGGCGAUCAUUACCCUUUCACGUGCAAUUUGGACUUUGAUUGCAUGAACAAUAUGGCUGAGUAUGAAGCAUGCAUCAUGGGACUUCAAGCAGCUAUAGAGCGAGGUAUAAAAACCCUAGAAGUAUAUGGAGAUUCUGCGUUGGUAGUUUAUCAGAUUAGAGGCGAAUGGGAGACAAGGGACCCUAAAUUGAUCAAUUAUCGAAAGGUAGUUUUGGGGUUACUUGAGGAGUUUGAUGACAUCACCUUCAAUUAUCUCCCACGAGACAAAAAUCAGAUGGUAGAUGCUUUAGCAACCUUGGCCUCAAUGAUCAAGGCGAAUAAAGAAGAAGAGAUGAAGCCAAUUCAAAUGAGUGUCUACGAGGCUCCAGCUCAUUGUUGUAACAUUGAGAAAGAAGUAAAUGACAAUAACCCCUGGCAUCAAGAUAUAUUGUGAUAUAUGAGAGAUCGUAAAUACCCUGAAUAGGCCAGUGAAAAUGACAAACGAACUUUGAGGAGGUUAGCUUGCGACUAUGUCUUAGAUGGAGAUAUCCUGUACAAGAGACGUAAAGACCAAGUACUUUUGAGAUGUGUCAAUGCUGUGGAAGCUAAGCUACUUUUAGAAGAAGUUCAUGAAGGUGUAUGAUACGAGUAACUCAGCCCAAUUCAAAGGCCAUAAUAGAGAUGAGUUUAGUUUUCCUCAAGGCCCAAUUACGAGAUCCAAAUCCAAACAAAUAAAGUCAAAACUCAACUUAGUGGUUCAAGACUUUAUCACGAAAAAAAUUCAAGAAGAAGAGUUGAAGUUUCAAGACAAUAAAUUCUGGAGUAAUGAUGAAUUAGAAGAGACUAAUUAUGUUUGUGGGCCUAAACUCUCAAUCUAUGACGACAAGCCCAUGUGGAAAAUGCUAACAAGCUUAAGCAUUUCAUUUCAAGAACCCCAAUUGAUCUUACAAGCUUAGACAUUUCAUAUUGGGUUUAAGUUUUAGGCUUAAUUUUUAUUAUAUAUAAGCACAAUAUUUUGUUUAUUAGCUCUUAUUAUUUUAUUAUUAUUUUAUUCUGAAUUUUUGAUAAUUAUUAAGUAUUUUAAGUUAUUUAGGAAUUUUAUGUUAACAAGAAAGUUUAGUUUAAAACUACUUCUUGUUUAGAUUAAAUUAGAGUUCUAAUAUACUUAGGAGUUUUAUUUAGAUUUAUUUAUCUAGCCUAUAUAUAGGCCUUUGCAUUGUACACAGGGAGACAAUUGAUUAUUAUUCUAUUUCUCUUUUGAGUUAAUAAAUUCUCUUUGAGUUUUUUCUUUUCAAGAAUUUCUCUUGAGUUUCUUUUAGAAGAGUUUUAACAAUCUUUUUAGAUUGUGGGGAUCAUCUUCAAACUUUUUCUUGCCAAGGUUUUUAUCUUGGAGGGGAAAUUAGAGCCGCUUGAAGGGGGUUGUGGAUUCUUCGUGUUUCUAAGGCUUCUUAGGACUUCUACACGCCACGUUCUAUCUUUCCAUUUAUCUUCUUUAUUCACUUCCUGAAUCCUUGAUUUACUAUUUGUUUUAAUUAUUUUAUCUAACUUGGAUUUAAUUUCGUUUCAGGUUGUGUCAAGAAAAAUCCAAGUUUCUUUCCGAACGUCUAGAGCCCUAAGUCAAAUCCGCGACUUUGACAAAUUUUACGAUCCGCUUUCGCGUUCAUCCUUCUCAUCCUUUAUCAUUUGGUAUCAGAUUUGGGCGUUUUAGGUGUUUUUUUUUUAAAUUUAUUUCUCGAAAACAGCUUCAAAACAAAUUUUACCCCUACAGUUUUCAGAAAAAAUAUUUUUCAGUGGGUAAACGAUUUUCAAAUGAUCUAAAAUUUUGCAUACUAUUUCUUGGCACUAUUUUAAAGUAUAAAAAAAAUAUUUCCCACAAAAAAAAGUGAUAAAAAAGUACAAAAAAAAUACAAAAAAAAAAAUUCUGUGGGUUGAAUUUUGUGCCGAAACUUUCCAGAUCAAAUCUACAUUAUUUGAGGAGGCUUCAGUUUAAAUUUUGUGAUUUUUGGAAAUCGGGAACACCUUGAACGAAGUUUGUCAAGUUGCUUCGCAGUUUUUCGGGUUUUCGGGUUUCAACAAUUUUCAUUGACUCUUAGCUUUAAGUAUUCAUUUGUUUUCCUUUUUAUUUGUUCCUUACGCAUUCUAACACUUUCUUGUUUCUUGUGUUAGGAGGUUAAAGCACGUUGCAUAUUCUUUCAUCCGUGCAACAAAAUUCUUUGAUGUCUAAGCAAAUUUUGGACUCAUAGUGCUAUUAGGUUUGCUUUGAUAGUUUGAUUCUAAAACAUCUUGAUUGAUUGAUAUAGACACAUUUAAAAGACUCACAAGAUUAAUUCUUACCUCAUUGAGAAUUUUUUUUAUUUUUAUUUUUGAGUGCAUAUAGGUGAGGUUUGCUUAAUUUUUUCUUUUGAAGUGUUGUGCUUUUCCAGGCUUUCACUAUGACUCGUGACACUCGUGCCCGUAAAAACCAUGAUGAGAUACCAUUUGAUGACAAAGAACAAGAUGUUACAUUGGAGAAUAUUGUGGGGAUGGUAAAAUUGCAACAUCAACAAUUGAAUGAGGUACGUGAUACAUUUGAGGCCAAUUUGACUACGUGUCGAACAGAACUACAAGAGAACAUUAAUCAGCUUUCCAAUCAUAUUCAAUUGCUCACUCAAGCUGUUGCUCGUUUGGAGACUUCUUCGAAUCGACGAUCUCGUGCUCGUGAUAGUGAUCAUGAUAGGGAUAAUGAACAACUUCGUAUUCGUUCUAAUCCUGGUAGACACGAAUAUCGUCACAUUGAUGAAACUUUGGGUAUUUCUAAUCAAGGCCAUCCUUCUGUCGCUAAACCAAAGUUCAACAUUCCACCAUUCCAAGGAAAGUAUGAUCCAGAUGCAUAUUGCGAUUGGGAGGAUAAAAUGGAGAUCAUGUUCUGUUGUUAUAAGUGUCCGGAGGAGGAGAAAGUUCCAUUAGCUAUAUUGGCAUUUUCUGAUUAUGCAUUGAGUUGGUGGACUCAACUUGUGUUGAACCGCCAAAGGAAUCGUGAACGAGAUGUUGAUUCAUGGGAACAGUUGACACAAAUCAUGCGAAAACGUUUUAUCCCACCUCAUUAUUAUAGGGAUAUUAAACGAAGACUUCAACGCCUUGUUCAAGGUAAUCGAUCUGUUGAUGAGUACUUUAAAGAGAUGGAGAUGCUUAUGCAUAGAGCAAAUAUCCAAGAAGAUGAGGAGACUACCAUGGUGCGGUUUAUAGAUGGUUUGAAUGUUUCGAUAGCCAAUGUUCUUGAUCUUCAAACCUACAUUGAUCUUGAAGAUACGGUACGUAAGGCAAUUGAGAUUGAGCGACAGUUUCAACAACGUCAAUCUCUUUCAUUUAGUACUUCACAAUAUUAUAGAGGUACGAGUUCUAAUUCUACUUUCAAGAAUUCAAAAUUUCCUUUUGCUACUAAUAAGUUGCUGCCAAAACAUGAUGAGACUAAAUCUUUUGAGGGGAAAAGUGGGGCUCCUACAAAACCUUCUUCUUCAUCUUCUAAGCAGCUCACUUCUACUACUUCCCCAAAAAAACAACGAGCUCGUGAAAUUGAAUGUUUUAAGUGCAAAGGGCGUGGGCACUAUAGCCGUGAUUGUGCCAACACAAGACUUUUGUUGAUCAAAGAAGAUGGCGAUUAUACUUCUGAUUCUGAUAAAACAGACCCAGAUAUGCCCGAAUUAAUUGAUGAUGUCAACGAUUGCGGUAAAUUUUAUGGUGAAGAAGAGUUGGUGGAACCACUAACUCAUCCUCGAUGUUUAGUUGUGAGGCGCACACUCAACAUCCAAUUGAAGGAUGAUCAUGAUCUUCAAUGGAGUAAUAUAUUCCAUUCGAGGUGUUUGAUUAAAGGUACACUUUGCUUAUUUAUCAUUGAUAGUGGAAGUUGUGCUAACGUUGUGAGCAGCUACCUUGUGGAUUCUCUUGCUUUGCCAUGUAGCAAACACCCUACACCAUACCAUCUUCAAUGGCUUAACGAAGGUUCAGAGGUCCGUGUGGUAAAACAGUGCUUGAUCACUUUUAAACUUGGGACUUACAUUGAUGAUGUUUGGUGUGAUGUCGUUCCCAUGCAUGCCGCCCACUUGUUACUUGGUAGACCAUGGCAGUACGAUCGUGAUGUUAUUCAUCAUGGUAAAUUAAAUCGAUAUUCUUUUAUUUUCAGUGGGAAAAAGUACACUUUCACCCCUUUGAAUCCGAAAGAUAUUCACAAUGAUCAAAUCGACAUGAUGAAGUUUUGUAAGGAGGUUAUGGGAAGUAAGACACAAAAUUCAAAAAAGGCUGAGAGAAAAGUGGUCUCUAGUAAAAAAAGCCAAAUUAAUAAUGACCCAAUGGUGAGUGCAUCCUCUUGUGAGAAAAAAAGAGUGGUUCAUAAUUUUUAUGCGAGUGGAAAAGAUGUGCGACGAGCCUUACUCACUAAACAACCUUGUAUCAUUAUUCGAUUUAGGCAAAACUGUUUAUCUUUGACUAACCUUCAUAACUCUUUGCCUAGUGUUUUUAUGUCUGUUUUGCAGGAAUAUGAAGAUAUUUUUGAAGAAGCACCUAAAGGAUUGCCACCUUUGAGGGGUAUUAAGCAUCAAAUUGACUUAAUACCUGGGUCAACAAUUCCAAAUCGACCAGCUUAUAGAAGCAAUCCCGAUGAGACGAAGGAGUUACAAAAGCAAGUAGAUGAACUUUUGGCGAAAGGUCACAUUCGUGAAAGUUUAAGUCCUUGUGCAGUGCCAGUAAUUCUGGUGCCAAAGAAAGAUGGUAUGUAUAGAAUGUGCGUCGAUUGUCGACCAAUUAACCAAAUUACUAUUAAGUAUAGACAUCCUAUUCCAAGGCUUGAUGAUAUGUUUGAUGAACUUUAUGAUGCUUGUAUCUUUACAAAAAUUGAUUUAAAAAGUGGCUACCAUCAAAUUCGAAUAAAAGAGGGGGAUGAAUGGAAAACAGCAUUUAAAACUAAGUUUGGUUUAUAUGAAUGGUUAGUCAUGCCUUUCGGUUUGACUAAUGCACCUAGUACUUUCAUGCGCUUGAUGAACCAUGUUUUGAGACCUUAUUUGGGUAAAUUUGUGGUAGUAUAUUUCGAUGAUAUUCUGAUUUACUCAACUUCUUUAGAUGACCAUGUUUUUCAUGUUAAAUUAGUUUUGGAUAUUCUGCGAACUGAAAAAUUAUUUGCCAACCUUGAUAAAUGCACUUUUUGUUGUGAUAAACUAAUCUUUUUAGGUUUUAUAGUAAGUGCUCAAGGUAUUCAUGUCGAUGAGGACAAAGUAAAGGCAAUUAGAGAAUGGCCCACUCCUAAAUCAAUUACCGAGGUGAGAUCUUUCCAUGGUUUAGCAAGUUUUUAUAGACGUUUUGUGAAGGAUUUCUCCACUAUUGCUGCUCCAUUAACUGAGAUUAUUAAAAAAUCUGUGGGUUUUAAAUGGGAAGAAGUUCAGGAAAAGGCUUUUCAAACUUUAAAGGAUAAGUUAUGUUUUGCUCCGGUUCUUAAAUUACCUGAUUUUUCUAAUACUUUUGAACUUGAAUGUGAUGCUUCAGGUAUUAGAAUUGGUGCCGUGUUGAUGCAAGAAAAAAGGCCAAUUGCAUAUUUUAGUGAAAAACUAACAGGGGCACAAUUAAACUACUCAACUUAUGAUAAGGAGUUGUUGGCAUUAGUCCGAGCUUUACAAGUUUGGCAACAUUACUUGUUGCCAAAUGAAUUCGUUAUCCAUACAUAUCAUGAAUCCCUAAAAUGGUUAAAGGGACAAUGUAAGUUAAGUAAGAGACACGCUCGAUGGGUGGAAUUCAUAGAGACAUUUCCAUAUACAAUUAAGUAUAAAACAGGUAGAGAAAAUGUAGUUGCUGAUGCCUUAUCUCGUAGAUAUUCUUUGAUAACUACAUUAAAUGCUAAAGUCUUAGGGUUUGAACAUAUAAAAGAUUUAUACUUAAAUGAUAUUGAUUUUGCAAAUGUUUUUUUCUAAUUGUGGGAAUGGUGCCUUUAACAAGUUUUAUCUUGUAGAUGGGUUUCUUUUUCGCCUAAACAGGUUAUGUGUUCCACAAUGUUCAUUGAGAGAGUUAUUAAUUCGUGAAGCACAUAGUGGAGGCCUCAUGGGACACUUCGGUGUCGCCAAAACACUAGAUAUUCUACAUGAACAUUUUUAUUGGCCGCACAUGAAAAAGGACGUUGAAAAGGUCUGUUCUAAUUGUAUUACAUGUAAACAAGCAAAAUCUAAGGUAAUGCCUCAUGGACUUUAUACUCCUUUACCGAUCCCUUCUUCGCCAUGGGUAGACUUAUCUAUGGAUUUCAUUCUUGGUUUACCACGAACAAAAAAGGGUCGAGAUAGUAUCUUUUUUGUUGUUGAUAGGUUUUCAAAUAUGGCUCACUUUAUUCCUUGUCACAAAACGGACGAUGCUACACAUGUGGCUGACUUGUUCUUUCGAGAGGUGGCGCGCCUAUAUGGGAUACCUCGCACCAUUGUAUCGGACAGAGACGUAAAGUUCCUAAGCCACUUUUGGAAAGUAUUGUGGGGUAAGCUUGGUACUAAAUUAUUAUAUUCUACUACAUGUCACCCCCAAACAGAUGGACAAACUGAGGUAGCCAAUCGAGUCUUAGGUGCUUUACUACGAACUGUUGUGGGUAAGAACCUUAAAAGUUGGGAAGAAUAUUUGCCAUUUGUUGAGUUUGCAUAUAACCGAUCUAUUCACUCUACAACUGCAUAUUCCCCAUUUGAACUUGUUUAUGGUUUUAAUCCACUAACUGUACUUGAUCUUGCACCAUUGCCUAUAGAAAACAUUUCUAGUUUAGAUGGUGAGAAGAAAGCUGAAUUGGUGAAAUCCAUGCAUGCGAAAGCAAGACAACGAAUCGCCAAAACAAAUGAAACAACUGCCAACAAAGCUAACAAGGGGCGCAAGCAAAUUAUCUUUGAGCCCGGUGACUGGGUUUGGGUCCACCUGAGAAAAGAGCGAUUUCCAACUAAACGCAAAACAAAAUUGGACCCACGUGGCGAUGGACCUUUUCAAGUACUCAAGCGCAUUAAUGACAAUGCAUAUCAAAUCGACCUUCCCGGUGAGUAUAAUGUUAGUGCCAUUUUUAAUGUCGCUGACCUUUCUCCUUUUGAUAUUGCAAAUUCGAGGGCGAAUCCUUUUGUGGAAGAGAGGAAUGAUACGAGUAACUCAGCCCAAUUCAAAGGCCAUAAUAGAGAUGAGUUUAGUUUUCCUCAAGGCCCAAUUACGAGAUCCAAAUCCAAACGAAUAAAGUCAAGACUCAACUUAGUGGUUCAAGACUUUAUCACGAAAAAAAUUCAAGAAGAAGAGUUGAAGUUUCAAGACAAUAAAUUCUGGAGUAAUGAUGAAUUAGAAGAGACUAAUUAUGUUUGUGGGCCUAAACUCUCAAUCUAUGACGACAAGCCCAUGUGGAAAAUGCUAACAAGCUUAAGCAUUUCAUUUCAAGAACCCCAAUUGAUCUUACAAGCUUAGACAUUUCAUAUUGGGUUUAAGUUUUAGGCUUAAUUUUUAUUAUAUAUAAGCACAAUAUUUUGUUUAUUAGCUCUUAUUAUUUUAUUAUUAUUUUAUUCCGAAUUUUUGAUAAUUAUUAAGUAUUUUAAGUUAUUUAGGAAUUUUAUGUUAACAAGAAAGUUUAGUUUAAAACUACUUCUUGUUUAGAUUAAAUUAGAGUUCUAAUAUACUUAGGAGUUUUAUUUAGAUUUAUUUAUCUAGCCUAUAUAUAGGCCUUUGCAUUGUACACAGGGAGACAAUUGAUUAUUAUUCUAUUUCUCUUUUGAGUUAAUAAAUUCUCUUUGAGUUUUUUCUUUUCAAGAAUUUCUCUUGAGUUUCUUUUAGAAGAGUUUUAACAAUCUUUUUAGAUUGUGGGGAUCAUCUUCAAACUUUUUCUUGCCAAGGUUUUUAUCUUGGAGGGGAAAUUAGAGCCGCUUGAAGGGGGUUGUGGAUUCUUCGUGUUUCCAAGGCUUCUUAGGACUUCUACACGCCACGUUCUAUCUUUCCAUUUAUCUUCUUUAUUCACUUCCUAAAUCCUUGAUUUAUUAUUUGUUUUAAUUAUUUUAUCUAACUUGGAUUUAAUUUCGUCUCAGGUUGUGUCAAGAAAAAUCCAAGUUUCUUUCCGAACGUCUAGAGCCCUAAGUCAAAUCCGCGACUUUGACAAACUUUACGAUCCGCUUUCGCGUUCAUCCUUCUUAACCUUUAUCAGUGUAUGUGGGACGCAUGCAAAUGGGUUCACGAUGGCAAGGCAAAUCAUGAGGUUUGGCUAUUAUUGGGCCACUAUGGAAGGGGACUGUAUCAACUAUACCAAGAAAUGCCAUAAGUGUAAGAUUUAUGGGGACAAAAUUCAUGUUCCACCUUCACCUUUGCAUAUUAUGACUUCUCCAUGGCCCUUCUCCAUGUGGGGCAUGGAUGUUAUUGGACCAAUAUCUCCGAAAGCUUCGAAUAGACAUCGGUUUAUCUUUGUGGUAAUUGACUAUUUUACAAAAUGGGUAGAAGCCGCUUCUUAUGCGAAUGUUACUACGUCAGCUGUGAGUCGAUUCUUGAAGAAAGAGAUCAUUUGUCGGUAUGGAAUGCCUGAGAAGAUCAUAUCUGACAAUGCAUUGAACUUGAACAAUAAAAUGAUAGCAGAGGUUUGCGACCAGUUCAAAAUCAAGCAUCACAAUUUUCCCCCCUAUCAUCCAAAAAUGAAUGGGGCAGUGGAAGCCGCCAACAAGAACAUUAAGAAAAUAGUGGGGAAGAUGACUGAGACCUAUAGAGAUUGGCAUGAGAAGUUACCGUUUGCACUCCUGGCCAUCGAACAUCUGUCAGAACCUCUAUUGGGGCAACCCCGUUCUCGUUAGUUUAUGGGAUGGAAGCAGUGUUACCUAUUGAAGUAGAAAUACAUUCUCUUCGAAUUUUGACAGAGAUAAGGUUAGAUGAAGCUGAAUGGGUUCAAUCCCGAUAUGACCAGUUGAACUUGAUUGAGGAAAAGAGGCUAAGAGCCAUUCGACAUGGUCAAAUGUAUCAGAAGCGAAUGAUGCGAGCUUAUGACAAGAAAGUUCGACCCAGAGAGUUCCACGAGGGAGACCUUGUACUAAAGAAGAUUCUUCCCAUUCAAAAGGACUUUAGGGGGAAAUGGAUGCCGAAUUGGGAGGGGCCGUAUGUUGUGAAGAAAGCCUUCUCUGGCAGUGCAUUGAUCUUAACGGAAAUGGAUGGGAAAAGUUUACCCAACCCAGUGAACUCAGACUCAGUUAAAAAAUACUUUGUCUAAAAGAGAACAGAAUCCAAGGUGAAAACCCGUAAAGGGAGCCUUGAGAUUCUAAAAAAAAAAUGGAGAGGCCAAGGUGAAAACCCGCAAAGGGCAUCUUGUGACCAAAGGGGUUUUAAGUUGAAAACCCGAAAGGGCAGCUCAAAUUUUGAAGAGUACACAGUGACCUUGCUAUAUUUGAUCCAACAAAAAGCGAAGCACGUUGCAUAUUGGGGCAUCAAAGUACUUUAGAUCUUUUAAACACAUGUUGAACUCAAGAAAGACUUCAUGGAGCUGGUGUAUAAACACUCAAGCGGUGAUAUCUUGGGCACCUAACUUUUAUCUUGUUUGCUAUCUUUAGAUUCUAUUUCUUCUUAAAGAUAGGCUUUCAAAUUAAUUUCCUUUGUAUCUUUUCGAUAAUUCAUUCUAAUCCAAUAAAGUUUAUUCAUCUUCCAUUAUUCUUUAAGUAUGUUGCAUUGAAAUAAUGAUAGAUGAACUAAAUAUGUUCACAAAUGAGGUUUUGCGCAUUACUCUGGAAUUUCUAGAUAAUACAAGAAAUUAAAAUAGGACAAUUGUUCGAGAAAUUCAUGUAAGUAAGGGAUGAAGGAAAUCGAGGAAUUUCUUUUCAGUCCAAAAGGAAAAUGGACAAAAAACCAACGAUUCAAUUUUAAGGAAAGAUUGUUUUACAGACAUCCUCAGUGGAUCGUAGCAUUGGAGGAAGGGUGCAGGCCCACAGGCUGAGCAAGAAUAAUGCUUUGAAAAGACAAAUGAAGGAAUGAGUGGUGACGUCUAGGAUAGGGGUCAUAUUCACAAAAUUUUGCAUCAUAACAUGUUUAAUUAGGAACACUCGACUCAUUUUGAUCAUAGCAUCCUAAUUAUCAGGCAUAAUCAUUCUACAGGUUAUCAAAGAUGGCGCGCCUUAAUCUCCUAAGCAGUAGGGUAAUAGGCCGCAGCAUAGCAGAUCUGGCUGAAGCAAGAUCCAAGAUGGUUUCGCAUUCUUGUGCUUACAAGGAACAAACCAAAGACAUAGCUGAUUUGGCUUUCACGUGUUUACGAUGAAGCAAAUCAAGAUGAUUUGGCAUCUCUGUAUUGUCAGAGAGCAAAUCGAAGUCUGGCAUCUCCACUUCAACGGAGAGUGGAUACAUAGCAGAUCUCACCUUCAGAUGUUUAUACUGAAGCAGAUCCAAGAUGAUUUAGCAUUCUUGUGCUUACAGGGAGCAAAUCGAAUACAUAGCUGAUUUGGCUUUCACGUGUUUACGAUGAAGCAAAUCUAAGAUGAUUUGGCAUCUCUUUAUUGUCAGAGAGCAAAUCGAAGUCUGGUAUCUCCACUUCAACGGGGAGCAGAUACAUAGCAGAUCUCACCUUCAGAUGUUUAUACUGAAGCAGAUCCAAGAUGAUUUAGCAUCCUUGUGCUUACAAGGAGCAAAUCGAAGACAUAGUUGAUUUGGCUUUCACGUGUUUACGAUGAAGCAAAUCUAAGAUGAUUUGGCAUCUCUGUAUUGUUAGAGAGCAAAUCGAAGUCUGGAAUCUCCACUUCAACGGGGAGCAGAUACAUAGCAUAUCUCACCUUCAGAUAAUUUCACUGAAGUAAGAUCCAAUAUGAUUUGACAUUCUUAUGCUUACAAGGAACAAAUCGAAGACAUAGCUGAUUUGGCUUUUACGUGCUUACGAUGAAGCAAAUCUAAGAUGAUUUAGCAUCUCUAUAUUGUCAGAGAACAAAUCAAAGAAGCAGAUCUGGCAUCUCUGUGUUUGGCGGAGAGCAGAUCGAAGAUAUCAACAUAACAGUCAUAAGUUUACAAGAAGAUUGAAGACCAUGUUUUGAUAGGACCGGUCAAAUUUGGUCUUUCUAAAUCUUUGCUCGAUUCCCAUUACACAACAAUGAGCAAAGAGAGGCAGCUGUAAUAGCCCAAAUUUAACCGGGCCUUAAGACCAAAUGAAAAUAGAUAAAUAAGUAAAUAUUUAUUUAUUAAACAGUCCAAGUUUAGGUUAUAAAGCCCAAACACUACUGGCCCAAAACUUAAAACCAAAAAGCACCACCCGUAUGACCCAAAUUACACCCUCAAACCCGACCUAACCCACAAUAGCCGACCCAACUCAAACACUACCCAGUAAGCCCUUUACACCCUUGACCCGUAUACAUCAGCAGCCCAAAAGGCCCAAACAAUUUAAGAGGAACUAGAAACCCUAGGGUUUCCUAAACACUAUCGCGCCGCAACUGCUUCUGGAUUAUUCGGGGAGGGUCUGUCCAGUCCCCGAAAUCGAGGCCACCAUCAAGGCACUGUCCUGAGGCCCUUCGACACACCAGCUCGGCCACCGAUCACGCCUCCACCAGUGGGCCGUGACUUCAGCAUUGUGUCAUGCCUUGCACGGUCACCAUCGAGAUCCUUGCAAGUUACCUGCAAGAAAAGGAAAGAAAUCAAAGCAAAAAAAGCAGCAGAUAUACUAAAACAUGAAAUGGAAAGAAAUCCUCCGAUUUCUUUCCAAAAUGGGCAGUAGUUUAAGGCUAUAAAGCCUUUCACAAAUCUGUAAAGUCUUACUUUUUACAUAGAUACACAGGGAGAGACAAAAUAACAUAGAAAGAUAAGGAGUUACAAACAAGUUGUAUUCAUAAAAAGCAGAAGAAAUAAAACAGUUUUUGUUUCUUAAAGGUAAUCGAAUCACUUUUUACUAUUUUCCAUUUAUCUGCUUAUUUUCUAGUGUGCAUACACAAAUCUUAGAAUAUAAUCAAAGAAAACAAAAGAAGCGGAGUUACCUUUUUGAUUUGCUGCGAAAAAUGGAAUUUUGAAAACCCUAACAGCCGUACGCGACGACAUCAAAG
rnacentral:lncRNA from 1 species